AUAAUGGAUGUUAUCACAUCCACACAAAUUUAAAUUUAAGGAAAGU
rfam:Strongylocentrotus purpuratus Contig52301_fixed, whole genome shotgun sequence.